GAAUUAAAUUCAAAGAUGAACACUAACUCCGCUGCGUAUUGGUCCACGUUCUCAGACGAUGACUUCUCUGUUUCGUCUGACGAAGAAGACAGCCGUUACAACCCCCACUCACACCUGUUUGUGUUUGGCUACGCAGACCCUUUAGCUGAGGUGUUUCAGGCGUGUCUGUGUAAUUACUGCUACGAGAACAAACUCAUUAAUCUGGAGCAACGAUCGUCUCAAACAUGAACGGCUUCAGUAGGCUUAUUGGCUCCCUAACUAACAUUAUUUCAUUCUCUGUAAUAAACUCAUUCUCAGAGGUAGUUGGUAAAUUCAGCCAUUCUUGGGAGUUCCAAAAUGUUCUCUCCUGCCAGUGAUGCAACAAUGCCAAUAAUCUGUUCCAUUUUUGUCAAACAAUUGUACAGACUAACAGACUUCUAGUCUUUCAUGUUAUUUAUUAUUGGGAUCCCCAUGAUCUGUUACAAAUCAGCAGCUACUCUUCCUGGGGUCCAGACACUCUAAAGUUGUAUCCAAGUAUAUUAGACAUCUCUUUACAGGACAGGGGAACAGUGGUGGUAGCAGUUGAUGGGCUUUUUGGUUUGCCUUGGAGAAAGUCAUCUGGAUCAAGUUAUGAGCCACCAAAACAUGGGGAAAAGCACUUUGCCAACCAAGCUGAUGUGGAUCGAUUCAUUUGUAAGCCCAUAUCACCAACAGAGGUAAAGUGAUAACAUUAUGCCUGAAUGUAAUAUGAGCUGCAUUUUAAGGACACCUUCCAUUGUUUCCUUAUGCACAACUGGAAGGGAAUGCGAAUGAAAUCUAUAAUUUUUUGAAGUCAUGAUAUCAAACCUGGCCACUAAUUCAUAUUUAAAUGAUGAAGUUGUCCCUCCACUUCAUCUGUUUAACUCAGUGGUCUUAUGGUUGGAGACGGUAUGUUGGUAUUGUGUAUGUUGAAUGUAAUAUUAUUGGUUGUCUCAUGCAACAUCCACUUAGACACUGAACCUGGUACAACUGUGAUCUGCUUCAGGCAACAGCUCAGUACGGUAUACCUGUACUGUACUUGAUAUAAAAACAAAUGUUUAGGGUUACCAUAGAUUUCAGGCGGGCAACACCAUCAGGUCCAAACCCAAAGCAAGGAAAUUGGAUGAGACUGGCGUGUUGGGGGGGUUUGCUGCAAGCAUCAGCCCCCACUUCACUUCUUGAACAUAGAAAAGGGUGAAAGGUGGGAUGCAGUAAUAAUGAGGGUUUUUCAUUUUCUUUUUCCAUAUUUUUUGCAGUGUUUGAUUCAUUUAGUUUGCAAAUAAUGAUGUAUCUCUACAGUAGUUUGUCAAAUGCAGUGUACCUGCUGAGAGAUGAUGAAGGAGGAGUUGAAAGGAAAGAAGAUCAAUCUCAUCUUCAUGGAAAACAUUGAUGGCAGAUGCAGCCACACGUGCAAGUAAUUAACCUUUUUUUAUUCACGAUCUCAUUGACUGUAACAUUUGAAUAGCAGUUUUCACCAAAAAUAGUUUUAACAUGAACAUUUUGUACAUAACUGUAUAGAGAAACCUUCCUGAAUUGAAUCAUGGGACCAAAUUCAUUGUGCCAGAUUUCCAUGCUUAUGGAUAGGACUUGCCAUGUCAGGCACAUGAACAUGAUCAUUAUAUUGUCAGUAGGUAUUUAUUCAUAUUUUAUAAGGUUUAACCAAAUAACCCUUUUACCAUGAUGACUCCGUCCCAUCGUAUUGACCUCCUGACUGAUGCACUUCUCCGCCAUGGGAAAAAGAUGCACCAGAGGCAAAAAUUGUACACUUGGAAUCGUUAUUAAUUUAUGCUGGUUGACUAUAGUGAUGUUCCUAACAUUUCCUGUUUUUUGUUUUAGUGGACUCUCUGCCACAGAGGCUUUCCCAAGCAACAGAAGUUGCAACAGAGGCAGAAAGGGAAAUGGCAGAAAUUGCACAGUCUCUUCCAGGUAAACCACUGUAUCAAUAAUCUAAGCAUAGAAUUUCAGUAUUGAUUAGAAAUGGGAUCCUCGAAGGGGAGUGCUCCAGGGAGAGAGAGACACAGCUGCAUGUGAGCUCUCGCAUUUUUCAACAUGUUUUUUUUUUUACAAAAAGAUAGAUUUGGAGUUAGAUAAACUUGGAUUUUUCGGGCAGGGACUUAUACAGGAUCCUACCCUCUACAGCAUAACCUUCACUCCAGAUCAAAACUCCAAGUCUACAACAUAAUUUUGGACAAAACUACCUGGAAGGAUUAGAUCUACCAAGUAUUCCUUUUUCCAGCGAUGGCAAACAAACAGCAGAGACCUGAGAACCUAGAACUGAGACAGACCAGAUACAACUUCAAUUAGCAGUGAGGUGUGAAGUGAGAGGUGUUGAAGCCUUUGAGCCCAACAAAUGGCAGGCGUAUCACAGGCUACCCCAUCCCAAAUCCAGAGGCCUUUGAAGCUGUUCAGAGACCAUCCACUGCCAUUUUCUACAAGAAAUCUGCCUCCAGAAAUAAAAGCUACUCCCAAGUGGGUGACCACUACUUCCGUUGCCUGCUGCACUGCUGCUUGGAUUCCACCUGGCGAUCUGUUCACCGUCAGCCCUGGCUUGUCUCCCCCUGUCUGGUACCGGUACCCCCACCACAAUCCCUCCUCUCUCCCGAGCUUUCUCUCCCAGCACACAGGCACUGUUGGGGCGAGUGACUGUGAACUUACAACGGCUAGCCCCAAGUCAUUAUAUAUUUUUUCUUGUGCAGUUUGCUAUUUUGCUAGUUGCCUCAUGACUCCUGCAUGCUUUGUUGACUAUGAACUUUCUUGUUUACCCAACCGUGGGACAGACCAAGUUUGUUUCCACACUCGGGACUCUCUGCUACCAUGUUGUGUUACUGCCAUGUUGUGUUGCUUCCAUGUUGUUGUCAUGUUGUGUUGCUACCAUGCUGUGUUGUUUUAUUAGGUGUCUCUUGAUGUAGUGUUGUGUUGUCUCUCUUGUCGUGAUGUGUGUUUUGUCAUAUAUUUUUAUUUCAUUUAUUUAUAUUUUGAAUCCCAGCCCUCAUCCCCGCAGGAGGCCUUUUGCCUUUUGGUAGGCCGUCAUUGUAAAUAAGAAUUUGUUCUUAACUGACUUGGUUAAAUAAAGGUUACAUUCAAAAUAAAAUAAAUGUUGUUACAUCUGUCACUGUUGUUAUGUUUUAGGAAAAACACUGGACACCAUUAGGGAUUGGAGCAGGAGUGUCAGUGUCACCCUUUAGAGGCAAAAACCUACUCUGUCUUGGGGGGAGCAAUAUGUUGCAAUGCCCCAGCAACAUACCAUUGCAAUGUAAGAGCAAUUGUAUAGCAGCAUAUGUCAUUUUUUUGUUUUUAUGUUUCGAUUAGAUUACCUUUUUUUAAAUCUGUAUUUUCCGUUAUCAAUAGAUGAUAAAGGUAUUGCCAACAGCCUGUCCGAAAGCCUUGCCACAGUGGGUAGUAGCAUACAAAAUGUGAAGGACUACAACCUAAGGAGACAAGAGAGUGGCCGUGUGAAGAGAAGAGCUACAUUGAGGAUGUAUUCACUGUCAAGAAGUUCUACUCACAUGAGCAGGAACUGAUCGUCGAGGCCUUACAACAUAAUGAGAGCAAGAUGGAUUUUCUCUUGGGGCAAGAGCUGUCCUUGCUGGAAAGCUUGAUGAGUACCAGCAUGCAGAAGGACAAUGUGAAUUGUUCAGACAAGCUUUUUUUGAGGGCAGUGGCAGAAAGCUAGAAGUGGAGGACAUCGAGGAAGUGGAUGAGGAUAAUGACUAUGAAGUGAGCCUGGUAUACCCCAACCUGAGUCUAAUGGAAUAGACAGGUUUGCUUCCUCCAAAGUAUUGUCUUUUCGUUGACCUGUUAGUUGUGUAGUUUGUAAAUAUCAAUAGAUAUUAUAAUUUGAACCUCUAGAUCACCAUUGACAUCUUUAAAUAAAAUAAUAUCUUCUGCAGCUGAUCCUGCCUGCAACAUUUAACCGUCCAAUAAUGGGUUUAGCACCUAAGGAUUCUAGCUUUAAGGCUUCAGUAUGUAGCCUACAGAGAAACACAUUUAGAGAUCAAGCCUUGUAGACUCGUUAUUUCUGAUAAAUUUACUUUGCUUGAGAGAGGAGACUGGAGGCCAUAGUGUGGUCGAACCAUUAUAGUUCCUAAGCACUGAAACAGCUUGAUUGUAUUACCUUUAAUGAUAAGAAUAAGCUCAUAUUUGAUUGCUCAGCAAGGUUAUGUCCACAUGCGAAGCCAACAGGCUCUGGGCAAGAGCUUAAAGACCUUGAAUAUGUUCAGCUGGAGGACAUAAAAUACAAUUUGACACCAAUACAUUGCUGGGAAUUGCUUCAGUCCUUCAAGAAAAGAGGUGAGAUCUUUACUGAUAAAUGUAACAUAUUUAAUUGUUAUGAAAAAAGUGCUAUCUAGAACCGAUAAUGGUUCUUUGGCUGUCCCCAUAGGAGAACCCUUUGAAGAACCCUUUUUGAUUUCAGGUAGAACUCUUUUGGGUUCCAUUUAGCACCCUUUCCACAGAGGGUUCUACUGGAACCAAAAAGGGUUAUCCUAUGAGGACCGCUAAAGAACCCUUUUGGAACCCUGUUUUAUAAGAGUGUACACACACAAGGUUAAAAAGGUUCUGUAAAUAGUUCAUUUGUUUGCCCUCAAAAUAAAUGGUUUAUGAUAUGUGGGACUGAGGCAUAUCCAAUAAAGGGACAGAAAUUACAAAAAAUACAUAAAAGAAAGUAAAAAACUGAAGUAAUAUUUCUGUGAAUUGUUUGUUUGUCCUCUUGUGCUGGUAUGGAGUCCAGCGCAUAGCCUAACAGACAGUUUUUUCUUUGUAUUUCUUUAAAGGAAAAUGAAGAAUGGAUAGGCUGAAUUGUUUUGAUCUGUAAAUAGUUUGUCGGUGUAUUUUCUGACGAUCUGUCCAUCAGCAAACAUGCGUAGCUGGCAAAAAGAUUAAGAAAGAUUAUUCGUUUCUUUUGAUUGUACAAUGUUGUGGCAUAAGUGUCAGGAGAAUAAAAGUUUUACUCCUCUUUGAAGUGAAGCAAUAUAUGGGGCAAUGGAAUACCUUUCUGUAUCUGGAAAUAAUGCAGGCAGCUGUAGCCAGCCAUGCAGGGCUCUAUGCUGACCUUUUUUACAAGGAGUAUGUGUGCGCCUACGUUGAAAAAUGUAGGCACAAACAAAUACAUUUAGGAGCACAAUGAAACAUUUGGUGUUAAAUCUAGAAUCCUUUACAUUUUUCUAGGAAACCCUGGUGCUCCUAAAUAAACAUUUCAGGUCAAACAGCAAAAUAUUUAGGCGCAUAUGCGAGUAAAGUGGUCACACUGUAGAGCCCUGCCAUGCAUUAUUAUCUAGUCUAGUUGAUUGAUAAUUGAAUAGAACUAAGUAUAUAAUCUGUAUUUUCAUCUGUAUUUUCAGCUGUUGUCACAUCCUGACCAGCAGAGGGAGUAGUUGUUUAGUAUUUUUGGUCAGGACGUGGCAGAAGUACUGUGUUGUAUGUGUUUUUCUGGUAUUUCUGUUUCUAUGUUGGUCUGUGUGGCUCCCGAUCAGGGAGAGCUGGUUAUUGUUGUUCCUGAUUGGGAGUCAUAUAUUAGGAGUGUGUUUGUCACCUGGGUUUUGUGGGUUUUAUUUCGCACUGCUACGUAUAGUGAUAGCCUGUGAAACUGUCUCCUGUCGUUCUAGUUUGUUUUUCCGUGUGCAUCAAACUUAAUAAAAUGAUGUGGAACACGCAACCCGCUGCGUAUUGGUCUGAGUGAUUUCUCCUUAUCAUCAGACGACGAAGUUUGUGACAGAACAACCCACCAAACCAAGACCAAGCAGCGGAGAAAGGAGCGGCAGGUUGAGGAUAUGGACUAUCGUGAGAGAUGGAGUUGGGAACAGAUUCUGGCCGCAGAGGGCCUGUGGAGGAAGGCUGGUGAGGACCGGGAACGCUACCGGGGUACACGACUGGCGAGGAAGCCGGAGAGGCACCCCCAAGAUUUAGCUACCCGUGAGUAUAUGGAGGAGCGUAUGGAGUGGAGGGCGCCGUGUUUUGCUAAGAUGCGCACAAUCUCGCCCAUACGCACGCACAGGCCGGUGCGCGCUAUUCCAGUCCCUCGCAGAUGCCGCGCUAGAGUGGGCAUCCAGCCUGGUAGGAGGAUGCCUGUGCAGCGUGUCUGGUCACCGGUACGCUUCCUCGGACCAGGCUACUCUACUCACGGUAACCAUCAAGCCCCUGCACAGCCCAGUUCGCUCGUGCAGGGCAGCUAGUUCCAUCCAGCCAGGAUGGGUUGUGCAGGAGGUGCUGUCAAGGCCACCUGUGCACCUCCAUGGCCCAGUCUUUCCGGUUCCCGCCUCUCGUGCUGACCCGGAAGUGAGUACCUCCAGUCUGGCACGACCAGUACCAGCACCACGGAUCAAGCUUCCCAUGGGUCAGCCUAGUCCUAGUCAGCCUGUUCCCGCUCCUCGCACUAGCCAUGGGGUGCGUGGUUUAAAACUGGCAGUUCCAGUACCAGCACCACGCAUUAGGUUUAUAGUGCAUAAUAGUAGUUCCUCUCGGCCGGUUCCUGCUUCCCGCACUAGCCCUAGGGUGCGUGUCUUCAGCCUGGUACCUCCUCUACCAGCCCCACGCAUCAGGCUUCCAGUGCGUCAGCCCAGCCUCGAGAGUAUCCGGCACCAGUGUGCUGCAGUCCAGAGUAUCCGGCACCAGUGUGCUGCAGUCCAGAGUAUCCGGCACCAGUGUGCUGCAGUCCAGAGUAUCCGGCACCAGUGUGCUGCAGUCCAGAGUAUCCGGCACCAGUGUGCUGCAGUCCAGAGUAUCCGGCAACAGUGUCCAGUCCGGAGCUGAGGGAGUCUGCUUGCGACCUGGAGCCGAGGGAGUCUGCCUGCGACCCGGAGCCGAGGGAGUCUGCCUGCGACCCGGAGCCGAGGGAGUCUGCCUGCGACCCGGAGCCGAGGGAGUCUGCCUGCGACCCGGAACCGAAGGAGUCUGCCUGCGACCCGGAACUGAAUAAGUGUUUGAUUAACUGUGAACUGAGUCUGCCUACAGCAUUAAACGGAAUGAGUCUGCCUAUGAUCCGGAACGGAAUGAGUCUGCCUAUGAUCCGGAACGGAAUGAGUCUGCCUAUGAUCCGGAACGGAAUGAGUCUGCCUACGACCUGGAACUGAGUGAGUCUGACUACGGUCCGGAGCCAAGCAAGUCUGUCUACAGUCUGGAGGGCAGUAGGCCCGAACCAGAGCCACCUCCAGGAUAGGUGGGUUGGGGAGGAGGGGUGUAGCAGAAGUGCUGUCGUUGACGGCAGCCACCCUCCCUUCCCUCCCUUUUUUUUGUUUAGGGGGUAUUUGGUUUUGUUUUUUUGUUGUGGUAUUGGGGAUUUUUGUGGUUUCUUUUUUAGGUGCAUUCGGGGUAUGCACCUUUAGGGGGGGGUACUGUCACGUCCUGACCAGCAGAGGGAGUAGUUGUUUAGUAUUUUUGGUCAGGACGUGGCAGAAGUACUGUGUUGUAUGUAUUUUUCUGGUAUUUCUGUUUCUAUGUUGGUCUGUGUGGCUCCCGAUCAGGGACAGCUGGUUAUUGUUGUUCCUGAUUGGGAGUCAUAUAUUAGGAGUGUGUUUGUCACCUGGGUUUUGUGGGUUUUAUUUCGCACUGCUACGUAUAGUGAUAGCCUGUGAAACUGUCUCCUGUCGUUCUAGUUUGUUUUUCCGUGUGCAUCAAACUUAAUAAAAUGAUGUGGAACACGCAA